rnacentral:lncRNA from 1 species
UUCAUGAUAAGCACUUCAAUAACCCUCCUCCUAACUUGAAAAAAACAAAAUGUAAUAGAAUAAAAAGCCACACUUCUAACCGACAUCAAAAAGAUUUAUAACUACCACUAACAGUUCCUAACAAACUCUCGCGCCUCCAAUUAUCCAGCAAACCCCAUAACCGAAUUCGGGCGGCCCUAACCGAAUUUAAACCACCCUCACAACUGUCAACAGAAACAGAACGGAAAAAGGAAUUCUCGAACCUUCCAUAAAAACCACUUC